rnacentral:rRNA from 1 species
UACGUAGGUGGCAAGCGUUGUCCGGAUUUACUGGGCGUAAAGCGUGCGCAGGCGGUUUUGUAAGUCUGUCGUGAAAGCCCCGGGCUCAACCUGGGAAUUGCGAUGGAGACUGCAAGGCUAGAGUGUGUCAGAGGGGGGUAGAAUUCCACGUGUAGCAGUGAAAUGCGUAGAUAUGUGGAGGAACACCGAUGGCGAAGGCAGCCCCCUGGGAUAACACUGACGCUCAUGCACGAAAGCGUGGGGAGCAAACAGG